CAGUAGCCGCGGGAAUACGAAGGGGGCUAGCGUUGUUCGGAACCACUGGGCGUAAAGGGUGCGUAGGCUGGUUCUUAAGUCAGGGGUGAAAUCCCGAGGCUCAACCUCGGAACUGCCUUUGAUACUGGGGAUCUUGAGUCCGGAAGAGGUGAGUGGAACUGCGAGUGUAGAGGUGAAAUUCGUAGAUAUUCGCAAGAACACCGGUGGCGAAGGCGGCUCACUGGUCCGGAACUGACGCUGAGGCACGACAGCGUGGGGAGCAAACAGGAUUAGAUACCCCCGUAGUCCCUGUCUCUUAUAC
rnacentral:rRNA from 1 species